UACAGAGGUGGCAAGCGUUGUUCGGAAUUACUGGGCGUAAAGGGCGCGUAGGCGGUCUUGUAAGUUCCGUGUGAAAUCCCUCGGCUCAACUGAGGAACCGCACGGAAAACUGCUUGGCUUGAGUUCGGGAGAGGGAAGCGGAAUUCCGGGUGUAGCGGUGAAAUGCGUAGAUAUCUGGAGGAACACCGGUGGCGAAGGCGGCCAUCUGGACCGCAACUGACGCUGAGGCGCGAAAGCGUGGGGAGCAAACAGG
rnacentral:rRNA from 1 species